GGGCAUUUGGUCGAGUCUGGUUUAUGGCGCUUAUCUUGAAAAUAAGUACUUCUAAAAAAAAGUCGUGAGUUCAAAUCUCACAGUGCCCG
rnacentral:tRNA from 2 species